ensembl:lncRNA
AGGCUCUCCCAGGAAUGCUACACAAGUCUUCAGUCUUGAGUGUGAGGAGUCUUACGGGAAGAAGAUAGAGGAAUGUGGCUGAAGAUGCCAACCUGGUCCUGGUGCUGGAGAUCCCUCUCGCUACUGCCAAAAAUUUCAAAUAAUGGAUCAAGAAGAGGCCCAUGAAGACUUUGACUUACCUGGAUCUGUAUGACCCCUAAUCCUGUGGUUAGUGUGGUUUGUAGCAAUACGGCCAGCAGAGAGAACCGGCAGACAGUCAUCAUGAAGAAGGCCAGAGCUCACGAGGAAGGCCCCAGCACUCAUCUGCUGCCUCCUCCAUGGUUAAUCAAUGCCAUGGACCGCAAGUCGUGGACCUGCCUUAGAGAAUUUGGUCUGUUAGAACAAGCUGGACGAUGCAGAGCAGACAGUGAGGGGGUUGUGGGCAGAGCUCUUGCAUUCAUGUUUCCCACUGUGUGCCUGAUGCGCAGCACUUUGGCAGGUACUGGCCCAGAAGCCCACAGUUCUAGAAGAGGAAUCUAA